rnacentral:rRNA from 1 species
UACGUAGGGGGCAAGCGUUAUCCGGAUUUACUGGGUGUAAAGGGAGCGUAGACGGUGAUGCAAGUCAGAAGUGAAAGCCCGGGGCUCAACUCCGGGACUGCUUUUGAAACUGUGGAGCUUGAGUGAAGUAGAGGCAGGCGGAAUUCCCGGUGUAGCGGUGAAAUGCGUAGAGAUCGGGAGGAACACCAGUGGCGAAGGCGGCCUGCUGGGCUUUAACUGACGCUCAGGCACGAAAGCAUGGGUAGCAAACAGG